AUGGAUGAAGAACUGCUUUCAUCUUGAAACCAGUUAUUUGGUGUAAAGGUAAUUUAUCUAGGAUAUGUUAAUAAGUUGGAUUUUAAAUAACAAUAAUUGACUGAAUAUUUUGCUUUGUAAUCACAUUACUCAGAUAUGAUGACCUUACAGCUGAAAAUGCUGAAGAGUGGAAUGGAAAAGGAAUCAGAAUCAGCUGGUUUUCUUUUAUUGCACUAUGGACUCAGCCCGGGUCAAAACCAAUUCGGGUGACCAUGACUCUUAUAAGUCUCGGAAUUUCAAUCCAAUCCUUCAAUUUUAGUUGAGUUAUUCUCGAGAUUUUGGGACAAUAACAAUAAUAUACUAACAAGACUUUCAAUUAUGAAGACUAAAAUAGUCAUUCAUCAAGUUCGCCAAGACCCCAACGGAGCAGUAAGGCUAAAGAGAUUAGUGCAUCUUUUUUGUUAGGGGUCGUUUCGGAAAGUGUCAAGCAAAAUGGUCUCGAUCAACACUAGAUGAAGCUGUUGAAGAUUACUAACAUGGAAAGAAGAAUAUGUAUAACAUGUCUAAAGACCAAUUGUGUAAAGGAAUGCUAAAUUGAACUUAAAUAUAUGAGUAUGUGAUUAUAUAUUUACUUUUAAAAGUAUAUUCAUAACAUUCAUGUUAUUAUUGUUCUUUACCAUAAUUAUUGA